AUUUCAUUUCAAUCCAUUUACUUUAAUACAAUUUUUAAAUCUGUUCUUAUCAGUUUAAUAUCUGAUAUGUCCUUUAUUUGAGGACUGUAUAUUAAAUAGAUUUUUGAAACAGGAGGCUGGAAUAGGAGCUUGCUUUAUCCACCCCAUGCAUUGACCUGGUAUUGCAGUGCCUCCAGGACCAGUGCCUCUUCU